CCUACGGGAGGCAGCAGUGAGGAAUAUUGGUCAAUGGGCGCGAGCCUGAACCAGCCAAGUAGCGUGAAGGAUGACUGCCCUACGGGUUGUAAGCUUCUUUUAUAAAGGAGUAAAUUAAGGCACGUGACCCUUUUUGUAUGUACUUUAUGAAUACGGAUCGGCUAACUCCGUGCCAGCAGCCGCGGUAAUACGGAGGAACCGAGUGUUAUCCGGAUUUAUUGGGUUUAAAGGGAGCGUAGAUGGGUUGUUAAGUCAGUUGUGAAAGCUUGCGGCUCAACCGUAAAAUUGCAAUUGAUACUGGCAGUCUUGAGUACAGUUGAGGUAGGCGGAAUUCGUGGUGUAGCGGUGAAAUGCUUAGAUAUCACGAAGAACUCCGAUUGCGAAGGCAGCUUACUAAACUGCAACUGACAUUGAUGCUCGAAAGUGUGGGUAUCAAACAGGAUUAGAUACCCUAGUAGUC
rnacentral:rRNA from 1 species